GCCGUUUUAGCUCAGUCGGUAGAGCACUUCCAUGGUAAGGAAGGGGUCGCUGGUUCGAUUCCAGUAAAUGGCA
rnacentral:tRNA from 3 species